rnacentral:rRNA from 1 species
UACGUAGGGUGCGAGCGUUGUCCGGAAUUAUUGGGCGUAAAGGGCUCGUAGGCGGUUUGUCGCGUCGGGCGUGAAAACUCAGGGCUUAACCCUGAGCCUGCUUCCGAUACGGGCAGACUAGGGGUAUGCAGGGGAGAACGGAAUUCCUGGUGUAGCGGUGAAAUGCGCAGAUAUCAGGAGGAACACCGGUGGCGAAGGCGUUUCUCUGGGCAUUACCUGACGCUGAGGAGCGAAAGUGUGGGGAGCGAACAGG